rnacentral:misc_RNA from 1 species
AAAAGCACUGGUAGAAGUUUUCCAACAACUUCCAUUUUCAUCACGGUCAUUUUAGAAUUGACAAAAUAAUAAUGAUAAGAUACUUUUGUUGAUAUACUUGUAAUAAUAAUGUAUGGAGGUCUUUGAUAUUAAUUUUUAAAAGACCGACGAUGCACCAUUAUACUAUUUUCAAAUUGCAUACCUGAAAUAGAUCAUGCACAAACAUAUCUGUACUGCUUUAAAAAAAACUGAGUUUCAUUGUCAUUAAAUUUUUGUUGUAAAAACAGCGUCUUUAAAAGUUAACGUGUACAUGUAAAUUGAAUAAUUUAAUUUUUGUUGUAACGCGCUUUCUGAUUGGUUAAAACAUUACGUUAUAUCAUAUAAAGAAUGGUGUGUUGUGUUGUAAAAUUUUGUAUUUACACCCAGUUAAUUCAAAACUUUUAAGCUACUUACAUACAAUUUUAUAUAAAGUCAUGUGAUUAAAACAUUUUUAUUAGUAUUAAAAUUCAAUAUUAUAAUC